rnacentral:sRNA from 1 species
UCGUCGACCUGCUGCGGGCAGAUGAAGUGGAUGUGGGCGUCGAUCCCGCCGGCGGUGAGGAUCUUGCCCUCGCCGGCGAUCACUUCGGUCCCCGGCCCGAUCACGAGCUCCACAUCCGGCUGGGUGUCGGGGUUGCCGGCCUUGCCGAUCCCGGCGAUGCGCCCGCCGCGGAUACCGACGUCGGCCUUGACCACACCCCACCAGUCGAGGAUCAGGGCGUUGGUGAUCACCGUGUCCAUGACCGCCUCGUCGGCACGCUGGCUCUGGCCCAUGCCGUCGCGG